rnacentral:rRNA from 1 species
GCAAGAAUGAAACUCAAAGGAAUUGACGGGGGCCCGCACAAGCGGAGGAACAUGUGGUUUAAUUCGAUGAUACGCGAGGAACCUUACCUGGACUUAAAUGUAGCGUGACCGCAGCCGAAAGGUUGUUUCUCUUCGGAGCAGGUUACAAGGUGCUGCAUGGUUGUCGUCAGCUCGUGCCGUGAGGUGUCGGGUUAAGUCCCAUAACGAGCGCAACCCCUAUUGUUAGUUGCUAACAGGUCAAGCUGAGGACUCUAGCGAGACUGCCACCGUAAGGUGAGAGGAAGGUGGGGAUGACGUCAAGUCAGCACGGCCCUUACGUCCAGGGCUACACACGUGUUACAAUGGUCGGUACAGAGAGCAGCUACUUGGUGACAAGAUGCGAAUCUUUUAAAGCCGGUCUUAGUUCGGAUCGAAGUCUGCAACUCGACUUCGUGAAGUUGGAUUCGCUAGUAAUCGCAUAUCAGCCAUGAUGCGGUGAAUACGUUCCCGGGCCUUGUACACACCGCCCGUCAAGCCAUGGAAGCUGGGGGUACCUGAAGUCCGUAACCGUUAAGGAACGGCCUAGGGUAAAACUGGUAACUGGGGCUAAGUCGUAACAAGGUA